rnacentral:rRNA from 1 species
GACGAACGCUGGCGGCGCGCUUAACACAUGCAAGUCGAACGGAAAGGCCUGCUUUCCCUUGUGGAUUGCGGGUACUCGAGUGGCGAACGGGUGAGUAACACGUGAGUAUCUGCCCCCAACUUGGGUAUAAGCCUGGGAAACUGGGUCUAAUUCCCGAUAGGACUGCAGGGUGGUGCCUGUGGUGGAAAACGAUUUUCUAGUGGUUGGGGAUGAGCUCGCGGCCUAUCAGCUUGUUGGUGGGGUAAUGGCCUACCAAGGCGGCGACGGGUAGCCGGCCUGAGAGGGUGGACGGCCACAUUGGGACUGAGAUACGGCCCAGACUCCUACGGGAGGCAGCAGUGGGGAAUAUUGCACAAUGGGCGGAAGCCUGAUGCAGCGACGCCGCGUGGGGGAUGACGGCCUUCGGGUUGUAAACUCCUUUCGACCGCGAGGAAGCCACCUGGUUGGAAGGGUGGUGACGGUAGUGGUAGAAGAAGCACCGGCUAACUACGUG